AAACCUGGCUAGGGAGCUAUCGCCGUGGCUACGUUGAUCGAAGCCAAACAUGAUCUUUGCCGGAGUAGCCUUGAUUGCGGAAUGUUUCUUGAAGCGGACCGAAGUGGUCAACAUGCAGUACAUCAAGUGGCAACGUGGGUAAAGGGUACAGCUGUGUUUCCCCCUCCAAACGAUUCGAAGAACUAUUCGACAUAAUGCAACACCGCAAUGAGCCAAUUCGUCGUGGUGGAUUCGCAACAUAUUCGUCACCAUUGACUCAGGAUCUGUCAGCUGUAAAAAUUCUAAACGCCUUUCCAAAGGGAGCUCGUCAACAUGGGCCACGCAUCUGCUGAGGGCGUCAACGUGAGCCAUGCGACUUCCUGGGCGGUGCCUUAUACUAAAGCCGCAUUCGUGCCUGAGCUAAAGUACGCUACUGGGGACCAUUUCCCCUCCUGCUGCCGCUGCAACAGAAUCGCCCCGUACCCUAGACUGCACGCAUCUGUAUGAAGCUGAGUCUCUGCGGAGGGAUUAUACAGACUCAACACCGGAGGUGAGAUUUUCCUCAACGGAUUCAGAAGGAAUCAGAACAUCAUCGAUGUAAACCAGGAUCUUGUCUGCACGAAUCAACGGGUUAAGGAUCCGUAUCAAUCUUUUCUGGAAUUCCGCGGGUGAUUCUGAAUAACCGAAAGGAACUACUCGAGCGCAGUACGGGGAAACGCUGGGCUGAAUUAUUCCCCGUUCAAGAAGAUCGUCGGUGAUCUUUCUGAGUUCCGCUCGCUCCGCGUUUGCAAAACGCCUCGGCGCAAAAGCAUAAAUCGACGGGUCUUUCAAUUGCACUUGGACGGUG